CCUACGGGAGGCAGCAGUGAGGAAUAUUGGUCAAUGGACGAGAGUCUGAACCAGCCAAGUAGCGUGAAGGAUGACUGCCCUAUGGGUUGUAAACUUCUUUUAUAUGGGAAUAAAAUGUUCCACGUGUGGGAUUUUGUAUGUACCUUAUGAAUAAGGAUCGGCUAACUCCGUGCCAGCAGCCGCGGUAAUACGGAGGAUCCGAGCGUUAUCCGGAUUUAUUGGGUUUAAAGGGAGCGUAGGUGGAUUGUUAAGUCAGUUGUGAAAGUUUGUGGCUCAACCGUAAAAUUGCAGUUGAAACUGGCAGUCUUGAGUACAGUAGAGGUGGGCGGAAUUCGUGGUGUAGCGGUGAAAUGCUUAGAUAUCACGAAGAACUCCGAUUGCGAAGGCAGUUCACUGGACUGCAACUGACACUGAGGCUCGAAAGUGUGGGUAUCAAACAGGAUUAGAUACCCUUGUAGUC
rnacentral:rRNA from 1 species